CCGCCACCCUCAAACCCUAGUUUCCUAAUUCCAGCGCUGUCACCCCACCCCUCACAGACAGGAACCUCAGUAAGUAAAAAAAAAAGAAGAACGGGAAUAGAAAGGAAAGGGGGACCGAGGAAGGAAGGAGAGGAGGGAGAAGAUAGAGGCGGCGCGGUGGGUGCCACUGCCCCCGUCGCCGCCGUUGCUAGCAGAGGGGAGGGGAGAUCUGAGCGAGGAGAGAGAUCGACCCACGCCUCGCCGCCGCGCCAACGUCCCAGUGCCGCCGUCGCGUCAUCGUCGAACUGGAGGGAAGAGCUGCUGCCGCCACGCCUCGCCGUCGAGCUGCAUCACGGCGCCGUCCUGUUCAUGGAGCCACAAGCUCGCAUCACUGCUGAUCCGUCUAGUCGCCAACGCCGUUGCGGGGGAAGACCAGAGAGAGGCAAGGAGCAGCACCGAGAGGAAGAGAAGGAGCUGCGCCACAUCGUCGUCCAGCCACUGUCCGACCCGCCAUCACCGGCGUUUCGCUGCCGUCGCUGCAGAGGCCAAAGGCCAUCGAACUUUCUGCCACCAACUUGGGGUCCGUCGUUGUCAAGACCGUUAGGAGAGAGAGAUAGGGCCGAACCUGUGCGUCCGAGAGAGAAGGGUGGAUGCUGUUCGCACUGUCGUACCAUCACCACGGCCAGGAUCCGUCGCUACCGCCGUGAGCCGUCCCUGUUGUCUUGGUGGUCGCCAUCACCAUGAGUAAAGUCUGCUGCUGUACCAGAACUUCUGCCGCCGUGGAUAUUGCUGUUGUGGUCAUUGGGAACCAAUGUUGGAGCCGCUCUUGAUGAUUCUGAUGCUGCUACGUAGGUCCCGAGCUGCUGUGUUGUUGCCAGAGGAAGGGAACUCAUAGGAAAAACGUCACCGAGGCUGCUGCUUGGUUUAAUUGCGUUGUUAAUGUGACAUUGAGUGACCCAAGUUUGAAGACACAGUUUGAAGCUGCGGGCGAUUAUAGAAUUUAUUCAUGAGUUAAGUGUAUGAGUUAAUUUGCUUUUAUAGAGUUCCCUCGCCCUUAUUGCUUAAGAUUUUUAUUUUAUACAGAGGGAUAGGAUUUGUAUCUGAGUUUUAUUUAAAAUCUUUUGUAUGAUAGAUAUUAAUAUUAAUAAUUAU